rnacentral:lncRNA from 1 species
CGUGGCAAAUGCUAUUACUAGUACUGGCCUUCAAUUUAACAACCUUCAUGUUUCAGAUAGAACGUUAACAAAUGCUAUCUAUAAAGCUUAUUUCUUUCUUUCCAAAAAAAAAAAAGCUUAUUUCUUUGAUUGGAUAAGGAAUGAUUGUGACCGAGGUCACUCUAUUUAAUAUUUUUUUAAUUUAAAAAAAAAUCUUAGAUUUUAUGUCAAGAAUAUUUUACAUCUCGUUCAUUAGAGAAUUUUUUGGUAAAAAAAUGUAAAAUCUUAAGCAUUUUACAUCUCUGGUUAAAGAUGCUCUUAGAUGAGUUGAGUUGACCAAGUAACUUUUCAAUGUAACCUAAUAACACCGUCAUGUGGUGUUACAAAUUAAUUAUAAUUAUUUUGAGUACAAAGAUAUAUUUUACAUUAAGCGGAGGGGAAGUUAAGCUAAAUUAUACAGUGAACAACCUAAUUUGAUAUCGAAUUCGCCAUCUACAAGAUUCAAACCUAAGACCUCUCACUUACAAGUGAAGAGGAAUACCACCAGACCGUAGUAUUGAGUGACUAAUGAUAAUUAUUAUACCAUGAGUAUAUGUAUUAAUAUUAUAACAAGGAUAAAUGGUAAGGAGACACUCUCUGAAGGUGGCAGAGAGUCGUUUUUUUU